GUGGCAGCCGCCGCGGUAAUACAGAGGGUGCGAGCGUUAAUCGGAUUUACUGGGCGUAAAGCGUGCGUAGGCGGCUUUUUAAGUCGGAUGUGAAACCCCCGAGCUUAACUUGGGAAUUGCAUUCGAUACUGGGAAGCUAGAGUAUGGGAGAGGAUGGUAGAAUUCCAGGUGUAGCGGUGAAAUGCGUAGAGAUCUGGAGGAAUACCGAUGGCGAAGGCAGCCAUCUGGCCUAAUACUGACGCUGAGGUACGAAAGCAUGGGGAGCAAACAGGAUUAGAUACCCUGGUAGUCCAUGCCGUAAACGAUGUCUACUAGCCGUUGGGGUCUUUGAGACUUUAGUGGCGCAGCUAACGCGAUAAGUAGACCGCCUGGGGAGUACGGUCGCAAGACUAAAACUUAAAUGAAUUGGCGG
rnacentral:rRNA from 1 species